rnacentral:rRNA from 1 species
UACGGGGGGGGGCAAGCGUUUGUUUCGGGAAUUACUGGGGCGUAAAAGGGGCUCGUAGGUGGCCAACUAAGUCAGACGUGAAAAUCCCCUCGGGCUUUAACCCGGGGGAACUGCGUCUGAUACUGGGAUGGCUUUGAGUUUUGGGGAGAGGGGACGCGGGAAUUUCCAGGGUGUAGCGGGUGAAAAUGCGUAGAUAUCUGGGAGGAACACCCGGGUGGGCGAAGGGCGGGCGUCCCUGGGACCCAACACUGACACUUGAUGAGCGAAAGCCCAGGGGGGGGGAGCAAACGGGG